GACGAACGCUUGCGGCGUGCCUAAGAAAUGCAAGUCGAACGGGCAUCGGCUUCGGUCGGUGUCAGUGGCGAACGGUCGCGUAACACGUAAGCAACCUGCCCGAAAGUGGGGGAUAACGGC
rnacentral:rRNA from 1 species